UGCAAAAAGCAUAGCAAGACAUAAGAGAAACAGCAAGGUUAAUUUUGUCCGAUUCUCUUCAGAGCUCAUUUUAUUAUUUCUUAAAAGGGAAAAUUGCAUCACGUCCCUUGAGAGAGGUGAGAGACGAGCAGCCAUUAACAAUAUCAAAAGUGUGGCAGAAUGGAGUUUGCAGCACAUAAAAUAGCCUGUUUGAGCCAAUGAGUUUGGGUAUUAGAGUCGUAUUAAGGACUGUGAAAUAUCGAGCUUGACUUCCGGCCAGAAACAAUUGUUAAAAAAAGGGGGAGCCCAUGGAGAUGUAAUUGUUACCCAACCAUAAUCCAAAAUGGAGCUUAAAUAUUCUUCAGAGUUCCAACUUUUCUUUUUCUCCGUUUCUUAUCUCUCUUCCAAUGCUAUGGUCCAACCGCCUCAUCAAGAUGAGAAGACAUGCUUUGAACAAUACAAACACAGUAGCAUCAAACGUAUUAUGACUUUUUCCUAGUAAGCAAGAGAUAUUUACCUUGAAGUCUCUUUCUUGGUGGCCCUGAGCAAUGAACUUUGCUAUAUUUCGGGAGACGAUAUAUCCUGGGCCAUGUGCCCAUGGUGGAUAAGAAGAAUGU
rnacentral:lncRNA from 1 species